ACUCCUGCGGGAGGCAGCAGUGGGGAAUUUUGGACAAUGGGGGCAACCCUGAUCCAGCAAUGCCGCGUGAGUGAAGAAGGCCUUCGGGUUGUAAAGCUCUUUUGUCAGGGAAGAAACGGUAGUAGCGAAUAACUAUUACUAAUGACGGUACCUGAAGAAUAAGCACCGGCUAACUACGUGCCAGCAGCCGCGGUAAUACGUAGGGUGCAAGCGUUAAUCGGAAUUACUGGGCGUAAAGCGUGCGCAGGCGGUUGUGUAAGUCAGAUGUGAAAUCCCCGGGCUCAACCUGGGAAUUGCAUUUGAGACUGCACGGCUAGAGUGUGUCAGAGGGGGGUAGAAUUCCACGUGUAGCAGUGAAAUGCGUAGAUAUGUGGAGGAAUACCGAUGGCGAAGGCAGCCCCCUGGGAUAACACUGACGCUCAUGCACGAAAGCGUGGGGAGCAAACAGGAUUAGAUACCCUGGUAGUCCC
rnacentral:rRNA from 1 species